UACGGGGGGGGCAAGCGUUGUUCGGAUUUACUGGGCGUAAAGCGCGUUCAGGCGGUUUGGCAAGUCGGGCAUGAAAUCUCUCGGCUCAACCGGGAGAGGUUGUCCGAUACUGCUGGACUUGAGGGCAGUAGAGGGUGGUGGAAUUCCGGGUGUAGUGGUGAAAUGCGUAGAUAUCCGGAGGAACACCAGUGGCGAAAGCGGCCACCUGGACUGCACCUGACGCUGACACGCGAAAGCUAGGGGAGCGAACGGG
rnacentral:rRNA from 1 species